CACGGAGUUAGCCGAUCCUUAUUCUUACGGUACACUCAGCCACCUACACGUAGGUGGGUUUGUUCCCGUACAAAAGCAGUUUACGACCCGUAGGGCCUCCUUCCUGCACGCGGCAUGGCUGGUUCAGGGUUCCCCCCAUUGACCAAUAUCCCUUACUGCUGCCUCCCGUAGGAGUCUGGUCCGUGUCUCAGUACCAGUGUGGGGGUCACUCCUCUCAGAGCCCCUAGACAUCGUCGCCUUGGUGCGCCGUUACCGCACCAACUAGCUAAUGUCACGCGAGCCCAUCCAUAUCCUAUCAAUAUUUAACCUUCCACCGAUGCCGGUCCAAGGUAACAUGCGGGCUUAAUCCGGAUUUCUCCGGGCUAUCCCCCUGAUAUGGGCAGGUUGCUCACGCGUUACGCACCCGUGCGCCACUCUCAUGGGAACCGAACGCCCCCAACUCCCGUCCGACUUGCAUGUAUUAGGCCUGCCGCUAGCGUUCAUCCUCGAGCCACGGAUCUAACUC
rnacentral:rRNA from 1 species